rnacentral:lncRNA from 1 species
GAGAAGGGAUAAAGGAAAGUGGAUCUAUGACAUGAGUGUGGAAUACAAUGGAAACUUACAAGACCAAGUUCUGUGGUGAAAACUUUCACUUGUGGGGCUCCAGGGGGGCUCAGUCAGGCUCUACGUGACUCUGCAGACCGGCCCUACACAGAGGCUGAGCCUUGAAAACCUGACGUCAGAUGGUGACUGAUGAACACCACUCAGGUACACUCGUCUCCUGCAGGGAUCCUGUUCUCCCUUAAGGAUCCCUCCAGAUUCCACAAGGAAUUUUCCUGGAGAUAUCUACCCGUGGAAACAGAGCCCGCACCUCAAGGAAUCUCUCUGUGUUGGUUUGAAACCUCAGGAGCUUCCUGGCUGGAAUCUGAAACCAGACCCCGUGCACAGAGGGUGAGGAUGGAUGGAAGAAAAGGCAGGCGACUCCGGCGUGGCACGUGGCAGGCAUAAGCAAGGGAGAGCGUGCCUGUGAGGUUUGUCUCGGGUACCAGGAGGUGAGGCAGUCUCUGCCCCGACCCGCCAGAACCUUCAAAGCUUACACAGAGACCUCGCUCGCUCAUGCACCCACCCAGAUGGUCUCCAGGACACACUGCCUCCUCAAGGCUGCAUCCGUGAGAGUGCUUCCUAGUGCAGAGGUUGGAACAUACAUUCCAAGGACAAGGGAAGGGGUGAAAAGCCUCUGGUCACCAGGGCCAGCCCUCAUGUCAACCAUUGGUCACAUCUCCUCUAUGACUCGCCCCAACACUCUGUGAUGAUGUGAUUGACUUCGUAACGUGGGAGGAGGGAAGUGCAAGAAGCACCCUGCGCUGGGUCCUGGGUCCGGGGUUCCCUCGCCUGACUUAGGUCUCUGAUUUACCCAGAUGUCGAUAAACAGCUUCCUCGGUAGGUGGUGGGAAAAGAGUAGGAGGCUCAGUUUACCCAAGAAGUAGAAAAUGGACUCAGCGUUGCACGAAAGCAUGGACUCCAGCUUAAGUCCGCCACGAGGUCUAGGUCCCUCGGAGGAAGCCGGGGUCCUCCGUCAUCUGAAGCACACUGUGGCCGUGGGCAGCUGGACGCCGCCGAUUUAACUCCACGCCGGCACCACCGAACAAUGGAGCAGACUCGAAGGAUUCUUAGGGGUGAGGUAGGGGACCAACAGAGAAAAUGAUGCCACAGCCCCUGCCCUUCCUCUGCUCCCACCAAUACUACCACCAUCCUGCACCCCAAAUUGCCCCAACUUUCUCCAGGCCCCCCCACAUCCCACUCCCCUCCUUCCACCAUGUCUCACCUACACUUCGGAAGAACAUUCUAGUUAUUCCACUGAUGUUAAUCCUCAUGUAACCCAAACAUCACCUGCAUAACUCUUCAGGCUUUAGAAACCCCAGGUGUGACCACACCAGAUCCGUGGUCUUGAAAGUCCGAAGUUUUUCCAGGAAUUUUUGCCAGUUCCCAUGGAUUGGCAGGAUCUCCACCAUCCUUCACUUGGUUUUCCCUGAAAAACCUGUGAAUCCAGGUAUAGCAUUCAGUCCCUUCCCCUGCCAAUUAUCUCACAAAAAUAAAAAGCUUUUUAAAAAAGCCUCAGUGAGCAGUGCCUGGGUGGCUCAGUCAGUUAAGCGUCUGACUUUGGCUCAGGUUAUGAUCUCGCGGUUUGUGAGUUCAAGCCCCACAUCAGGCUCUGUGCUGACAGCUCGGAGCCUGGAGCUGUUUCGGACUCGGUGUCUUUCUCUCCCUGACCCUCGCCUGCUUGUGCUCUGUGUGUCUCUCCCUCAAGACAAAUAAACAUAAAAGCC